rnacentral:misc_RNA from 1 species
GAAGUAAAAGUCGUAACAAGGUUUCCGUAGGUGAACCUGCGGAAGGAUCAUUAUGAAUUAAAAAUAUUUGUGAAUUUACCACAGCAAACAAAAAUCAUACAAUCAAAACAAAAAUAAUUAAAACUUUUAACAAUGGAUCUCUUGGUUCUCGUAUCGAUGAAGAACGCAGCGAAACGCGAUAUUUCUUGUGAAUUGCAGAAGUGAAUCAUCAGUUUUUGAACGCACAUUGCACUUUGGGGUAUCCCCCAAAGUAUACUUGUUUGAGCGUUGUUUCUCUCUUGGAAUUGCUUUGCUCUUCUAAAAUUUCGAAUCAAAUUCGUUUGAAAAACAACACUAUUCAACCUCAGAUCAAGUAGGAUUACCCGCUGAACUUAAGCAUAUCAAUAAGCGGAGGAAAAGAAACCAACAGGGAUUGCCUUAGUAACGGCGAGUGAAGCGGCAAAAGCUCAAAUUUGAAAUCGGCCMCCAGGUCGAGUUGUAAUUUGUAGAUUGUAUCUUGAGAGCGGAUUAAAGUCUGUUGGAACACAGCGCCUUAGAGGGUGACAGCCCCGUAAAAUCUAUUCUCAUUGUAAGAUACUUUCGAAGAGUCGAGUUGUUUGGGAAUGCAGCUCUAAGUGGGAGGUAAAUUCCUUCUAAAGCUAAAUAUUGACGAGAGACCGAUAGCGAACAAGUACUGUGA